rnacentral:rRNA from 1 species
UCGAGCGAGAAGGGCUUCGGCCCUGAGUACAGCGGCAGACGGGUGAGUAAUACGUAGGUAACCUUCCGUUUUGUGGGGGACAACGGUCCGAAAGGACCGCUAAUACCGCAUACGUCUCUCGGUGCUUCGGCACUGGGAGGGAAAGCCUCGCAAGGGGCGCAGAAUGAGGGGCCUAUGUCGCAUCAGCUAGUUGGUGGGGUAAUGGCCUACCAAGGCGAAGACGCGUAGCUGGUCUGAGAGGAUGAUCAGCCACACUGGGACUGAGAGACGGCCCAGACUCCUACGGGAGGCAGCAGUGGGGAAUCUUGCGCAAUGGCCGAAAGGCUGACGCAGCGACGCCGCGUGUGGGAGGAAGCUCUUCGGGGUGUAAACCACUGUUGCCCGGGACGAACAUCUCCUUUCGAGGGGACUGACGGUACCGGGUGAGGAAGCACCGGCUAACUCUGUGCCAGCAGCCGCGGUAAUACAGAGGGUGCGAGCGUUGUCCGGAAUCACUGGGCGUAAAGGGCGCGUAGGCGGCUCAGUAAGGUUGCGGUGAAAGCCCGGGGCUCAACCCCGGGUCGGCCGUGGCAACUGCUGGGCUGGAGCACUGUAGAGGCAGGUGGAAUUCCGGGUGUAGCGGUGGAAUGCGUAGAGAUCCGGAAGAACACCGGUGGCGAAGCGGCCUGCUGGGCAGUAGCUGACGCUGAUGCGCGACAGCGUGGGGAGCAAACAGGAUUAGAUACCCCGGUAGUCCUGGCCGUAAACGUUGGGCACUAGUGUUGGAGGCAUCGACCUCUCCAGUGCCGCAGCUAACGCAUU